UCCCUGGUGGCUAAGUCAGUAAAGAACCUGACUGCAAUGCGGGAGACCUGGGUUCGAUUCCUGGGUUGGGAA
rnacentral:tRNA from 1 species